CGCGCCAUGGAGCAGUCCGGUAGCUCGCCGGGUUCAUAACCCGGAGGUCGCAGGUUCAAAUCCUGCUGGCGCAACCA
rnacentral:tRNA from 1 species